UCCAAAAGACCUACUCUGAAGAACAAGAUGUUUUAGAUGCUAUUUUUGGACGUUUGUGUCUAAAUAAAGGGAAAAACCAUUAAGCUUAUUGCAGCUAGAAUGCAAUGCAUAUUCAGUGCCCCCCCUCAUUAUCUUCCAUUAAUCUACUUCAGGCUAAAUGCUUUGUAAGAGACAUUCUGCGUCAUGGGAGAGGCUACUCAAACACUGCCAAGGAGAGAUACGCAAACAACACUGGAGAGAGGUGGGAGAGAGAGAGGGGGAGACAACAAGGGGAGGAGAACUGGUUUAUCAUCACUUCCCCUCCUUUUGAUCUCUUAUAGAGCAGAAGAUGUGUGUGAAUUUGAGCGAGGAAACGGGAGACGAGGAGCGAGCGAACACGACGUGGAGAAAGACAGAGAGACGUAUCUGUUCCAAAGCUAUCACGCAUCUCACUCCGACCCAGUUUCACUACAGUCUAAUCCAUCCUGCAACCACCACCGAGCCGAGCGCUCUUUCCAUCCCGACCUCCUGCAAACGAGGCAGGCGCUGCUGUGCUUUCAGGGGCUUUCACACUACGCUGGUCUUCAUUUGUACUAUACCAUGAUGUCUACUCCAGGGAGAGCAUCUGUCAUCGCUACUUUACCAUGCUGUGUCAGCGUGGGUCUGCUUCUGCCAUGAUUAUUUAAUGAUAUGGUUCUAUUGGCUUCGUCAAACUCUGACCCUCAGUAUGCAUUGGGGAUCUGUGCACCAAACGGAUGGGACUGGAGUCAAUAUCCCAAAGUCUGAAGUCAUGGUUCUCUGCCAGAAAAUGGUGGAUUGCUCCCUCUGGGUUGGGGUUCAGUUGCUGCCCUAAGCAAAGUUCAAGUAUCUCGGGAUCACUGGUCAUUAACGAUGGGAAAUGAAGCGUGAGGAGGACAGAUGGAUUGGUGCAGCGUCAGCAGUAAUGUGGGCAUACCGGACUGUUCUGGUGAAGAAGGAGCUGAAACUCUCAGUUCACCAGUGGAUCUACGUUCUAACCCUCACCUAUCGCCAGAAGCUCUUGGUAAUGACUGUAAGAAUGCGACUGUGUCUACAAACAGCCAAAAAUAGCCUCUUCUGUAGGAUGGCUGGGCUCAACCCUAAAGAACGAGUGUAGAGAUCAAACACCCGGAGUGAACUUGCAGUUAAAGUAGUAGUUGAAUCAAGCCAAAUGAGGCAGUUGAGGCAUCAGAACAGGGUGCCUCCUGGUUGCCUUCCUUUAGAGGCUUUCCAGGCACGUCCAACCGGGAGUAGACCAUUAAGUGUGUAGUUGAAGGAAAGUACUGUUUGGAAUUGGAUUUACUACUGCUUUAGUGUCAACGUUCUUCCAAAUGCUUUGGCUGCAGCUAAAACAGUUUUCUUCGAGUACGACUAGAGAGUAAAGAAAAGGAAACGACAGUAAGGCUGAUGACACGAUCAUGUUUUACAUUCUACAUUGGGUAAAUACUUAAGUUGGAAAUGACAAAAGUUUCAAGAAUUAUGUUUGCUCCAACGCAAACUAUUUAUUUGGAUAGCGAUCAAAUGAUUUAAGUAGAGCUUACUUAAACUGGUGGUAUUAAUGUUGAUUGUAAUUACUUUAGAUAAACUUAAUUCAGUUGCAUGUUACCAUUUGAAGAAUCCAUUUUUUGGUCCAACAAUUGAAGUUGAAAACAUGAGUCAGGUACAUAUGAAAUGUCUUGCUAGAUGAUGGAUGGUACCAUCACAAGAACAGCCCCUAACAACUUCUACAGCAGUUUUUGUGGAAACCAUACAUUUUCCCUGUGGACCAAUGGAGUUCUUACACAUUUCGAUGUGAGACUGAGCUGCAAUAUGACAGAUAAGACAGCUGUCAUCAUCAAACUAAAUUUAGUAGUGAAGUGACGAGGGCGAAGACAGGUUGUCUUGAAACUACUUUUUGACAUCAAAAACAAGACACCAUGACCUGAACCAUUAAUAAUGAUCACUUGAAUAGGUGACAGAUAGACUUACAUUGCACCAUUGUAUGCUGUGAAACGCUGUAGGUCACAAAAUGUGAAAUUUCCGCUCUUAAAAAUCUUGAAAGAGAUCAGAAAAGGACCUGAUUUUAAGAAGGCAUUUACACGAGAGCUUGACGAACGCUGUGUCAAUGGGAGCACAUCUAAAUGCGCUUCCUUGAUUUUCAUUCUUCGAGGCAGAUUAUACCACAGUUUGGGGAGAAGUGGAAACAAACAGUCAGGGUGUGAUGACGAAUCCUUUGAAUCUCGAUCCUUCUCUUCACAGCAAGUCACAAUAUUCAUGUCGUCUCUUUUAUAAGGCUCUGCCAUUCACGACGACACAUGAUGAAAAUGUCUCACUAAAUAAAGAUAAGACGCCAGACUGACUUCCACUAGUGGGAAAAUCCAGACGGGUAGGGUGGGAAUAUGUGCAAAUAUUUCAGAAAUACAUUACCAGAGACAAAUGAUGUGUCACCUCAAGCUGAAUGUACAAUUUAUGGAGAUACGGAAAAUCUAGUCAUCAUGUAUUCCGUGUGUCAUUCAUUCGCUCGGCCUUGCAUCAUAGACUCUAUGAACUAAAUUUAACUGUCAAUGUGUGUUUAAAAGUCAGGAUAUUUCCAUUCGGUUGUGUAUGUGAAGCUGACAGGAUUUUGGGAAGGUUCAUUAGUGAUGAUGUGAGGCUCAGUUUGUGACAUAGAUGGAAAAAAAACUCUUGUUUCUUAGAAAAAGUGUUGAGACCAGACGUGAUGUUCUGGACAGAGGCAACAAGGCAGCAGACUAUUGUAACUCCUGAUUUCCACCGCUGUAAAUACUCUGCUAUCUGUACAGCUGGGGGAUGAAACGAGUGGAAAGAUUAUGUCCUAGAUUCCACUAAGCAUGAAUUAUGUUGGAAGGACGACAUCAACAAAGCGCAGGAGCUGUUCCGGCUGCUAAUUCUAUACCAUAACUUUGCUUCUCCUCUUUCAUUCGGAGUGAAUGGAUGCUAAUCAAAGGCUGAAAUGCAGUAUUGACUGAUGCCAUUUUGCCUGCACACUAAGUCCACAGUAAGCUAUGGAAAUAAAACAUCUCGAGAGCC